rnacentral:rRNA from 1 species
GAUGAACGCUAGCGGCAAGCUUAAUACAUGCAAGUCGAGGGGCAGCAUGACUGUAGCAAUACAGUUGAUGGCGACCGGCAAACGGGUGCGGAACACGUACAGAACCUUCCUUCGAGCGGGGAAUAGCCCAGAGAAAUUUGGAUUAAUACCCCAUAGUAUUACGGAGUGGCAUCACUUUGUAAUUAAAGAUUUAUCACUUGAAGAUGGAUGUGCGGCUGAUUAGAUAGUUGGCAGGGUAACGGCCUACCAAGUCUACGAUCAGUAACUGGUGUGAGAGCACGACCAGGCACCCGGGCACUGAGACACGGGCCCGACUCCUACGGGAGGCAGCAGUAAGGAAUAUUGGUCAAUGGACGAAAGUCUGAACCAGCUAUGCCGCGUGGAGGAUGAAGGCCCUCUGGGUUGUAAACUUCUUUUAUAUGGGACGAAAAAGGGCCUUUCUAGGUCAACUGACGGUACCAUGUGAAUAAGCACCGGCUAACUCCGUGCCAGCAGCCGCGGUAACAC